rnacentral:rRNA from 1 species
CUGCAGUAUCCUGACUGUGCAAAGGUAGCAUAAUAAAAUGUCUUUUGAUUGAAGAAUAGAAUGAAAGGUUUGACAAGAGUGUUGCUAUACAUUUAUAUUUGCUAAAAGUUAAUUUUUAAGUUAAAAAGCUUAAAUUAAAUUAAAAGACGAGAAGACCCUGUUGAGCUUUAGAAAAUAAGUAUAUUUAUCUUAGUUAUUGGAAAAUAUAAAUAAAUUAACUAAAAUUUUAGUUGGGGCGACUUAGGAAAAAGAAAAACUUCCUGUAUACUUUAAAGCUAUUUAGUUUUGAUCCAAAUUGUUUUGAACUAAGAACAAGUUACCACAGGGAUAACAGCGUGAUUUUUCUUGAGAGUUCUAAUCGAAAGAAGAGUUUACGACCUCGAUGUUGGAUUUAAGAAGUAAUAAAGGUUGUAGAAGCUUUUGUAAUUAGUCUGUUCGACUAUUAAUAUCUUACAUGAUCUGAGUUCAAACCGGA